GUCGAGCGGACAGAUGGGAGCUUGCUCCCUGAUGUUAGCGGCGGACGGGUGAGUAACACGUGGGUAACCUGCCUGUAAGACUGGGAUAACUCCGGGAAACCGGGGCUAAUACCGGAUGGUUGUCUGAACCGCAUGGUUCAGACAUAAAAGGUGGCUUCGGCUACCACUUACAGAUGGACCCGCGGCGCAUUAGCUAGUUGGUGAGGUAACGGCUCACCAAGGCAACGAUGCGUAGCCGACCUGAGAGGGUGAUCGGCCACACUGGGACUGAGACACGGCCCAGACUCCUACGGGAGGCAGCAGUAGGGAAUCUUCCGCAAUGGACGAAAGUCUGACGGAGCAACGCCGCGUGAGUGAUGAAGGUUUUCGGAUCGUAAAGCUCUGUUGUUAGGGAAGAACAAGUGCCGUUCAAAUAGGGCGGCACCUUGACGGUACCUAACCAGAAAGCCACGGCUAACUACGUGCCAGCAGCCGCGGUAAUACGUAGGUGGCAAGCGUUGUCCGGAAUUAUUGGGCGUAAAGGGCUCGCAGGCGGUUUCUUAAGUCUGAUGUGAAAGCCCCCGGCUCAACCGGGGAGGGUCAUUGGAAACUGGGGAACUUGAGUGCAGAAGAGGAGAGUGGAAUUCCACGUGUAGCGGUGAAAUGCGUAGAGAUGUGGAGGAACACCAGUGGCGAAGGCGACUCUCUGGUCUGUAACUGACGCUGAGGAGCGAAAGCGUGGGGAGCGAACAGGAUUAGAUACCCUGGUAGUCCACGCCGUAAACGAUGAGUGCUAAGUGUUAGGGGGUUUCCGCCCCCUUAGUGCUGCA
rnacentral:rRNA from 1 species